rnacentral:rRNA from 1 species
GACGAACGCUGGCGGCGUGCUUAACACAUGCAAGUCGAACGGAAAGGCCUGCUUUCCCUUGUGGAUUGCGGGUACUCGAGUGGCGAACGGGUGAGUAACACGUGAGUGAUCUGCCCCCAACUUGGGUAUAAGCCUGGGAAACUGGGUCUAAUUCCCGAUAGGACUGCAGGGUGGUGCCUGUGGUGGAACACGAUUUUCUAGUGGUUGGGGAUGAGCUCGCGGCCUAUCAGCUUGUUGGUGGGGUAAUGGCCUACCAAGGCGGCGACGGGUAGCCGGCCUGAGAGGGUGGACGGCCAAAUUGGGACUGAGAUACGGCCCAGACUCCUACGGGAGGCAGCAGUGGGGAAUAUUGCACAAUGGGCGGAAGCCUGAUGCAGCGACGCCGCGUGGGGGAUGACGGCCUUCGGGUUGUAAACUCCUUUCGACCGCGAGGAAGCCACCUGGUUGGAAGGGUGGUGACGGUAGUGGUAGAAGAAGCACCGGCUAACUACGUG